rnacentral:rRNA from 1 species
AAGAACCUUUGCGCUUUUGGAGCGGCCGAUGCCUGAUUAGCUUGUUGGUAAGGUAAAAGCUUACCAAGGCUUCGAUCAGUAGCUGGUCUGAGAGGACGGCCAGCCACACUGGGACUGAGACACGGCCCAGACUCCUACGGGAGGCAGCAGUGGGGAAUUUUGGACAAUGGGGGCAACCCUGAUCCAGCCAUGCCGCGUGAGUGAAGAAGGCCUUCGGGUUGUAAAGCUCUUUCAGCCGGAACGAAACGGUUACGGUUAAUACCCGUGAUUACUGACGGUACCGGAAGAAGAAGCACCGGCUAACUACGUGCCAGCAGCCGCGGUAAUACGUAGGGUGCGAGCGUUAAUCGGAAUUACUGGGCGUAAAGCGUGCGCAGGUGGUUUUGUAAGUCAGAUGUGAAAGCCCCGGGCUCAACCUGGGAACU